rnacentral:lncRNA from 1 species
GGCAGAGUCUGACAGAGUGGUCACACCUUAUUUUGAUCUCCACUGUCUGGGGUCUUUGUCCUCCUGUGUUCAGGUCAAGCGUCCCCUUAAGUGAUCAGAUGGAUACAGAAAGUGGAGUGCCAAUGUAUUAAGGUGCUGUCAGAAAAAGAACUGCCCAGUGGGCCAAGUGGGAUUUGUGCCAGCGGGACAGUCUACCUAAGAAACACCGACUCACAGCUGGAAGAGUGCUUGGUGACCCCGGAAUUGGGGCAGGGGGAUACAUUUUUGCUUUGUAGUUCCUCUUUUCUGGGGUUUGCUAUUUUUUCACACACAGUUUAUUGGUUCACAGAAUGUAGUCCAGGGAGGAGAAGGGAUUUUCCCCAAAGUUCAUGCAGUGGUCAGCAAAGCUGGAGGGGGCACAGGUCGCCCAUCUCUAGCCAGGUAUUUUCCAGUUGACCACAUUGCCAUUCUUAGAGGAUGAUUCUCCACUGCCCUUUCUGAAAUGCCUUCACCUCCUUUCUUUCUUAGGACAUUCAAUCAUUUGCCUUUUAUCUCUCUGCAUCUCCCUUUCACUCUGGGCUCCCUUUCUCUAACACCCUUCUAUUUAGCCUCUGCUUGUCCCAAGGCCUUCUGACCAUGUAACAAAUCCCCAAACACAGUGAUUUCAAUAAUCAUUUUAUUAUCUUUCACAGUUUCUGCAGGUCAGGAAUCUGAGUAGGGCUUGGGUAGACAAUGCUGGCUUGUGGCCUGUCAGUGGAUUUGCAGGCAAAGAGGUGGCCGGAAGGAAAGUAGGAGCAGGACUAGAGCAGCUGAGGUCCUGGCCAGGCGUCUCUCUCCAUAUUCAGUCUCUCUCUGUAGGUUCCUUUGGGCUUCCUUACAUCAUGGUGGCCUCAGGACAGUCAGACUGCUUAUAAGGCAUCCAGCUUCCUCAGAGCCAGUUUCCUGAGAAAUCAAAGCAGAAAUGCAUAGCACUCACAUAGUGUCACUCCUGCCGUCUCUAAUUGGUCAAGGAAAUCACAUUCGGCUCAGCUUCAAGAGGACUGUUGACGUUUCAAUGGGGAAGAUUGCUGAAGUUACACUGUGAGAGGAGUUGUAGAUGGGAGCCCCUCUUUGCCCUCUUAGCUCUUCCUCUGGAGCCCAGGACUUCUGAUGCCAUCUUUGAUUCUCAAUAAGAAGGUCAAGUUCCACCAAAGGGCAGAUGCUGAUGUCUUUCAGCUCAGACCCUGGGAUCCUGAGGUGCCCUAGACGGAAGACUGGUGGAAAGACUGAGGGCGAAGCCUAAACUGUGGCUCCAGGGGCGUCACUGAGGCCUCUUUCUUCAAUAAGGUCCCUCUUGCUUCCCCACAGCUGGUGUGGCUGAAUAAAAAGAAUACUAAAUACAGCCACUUACCUGAGGGGCUUACCAUAUAGAAAGAUGAAGCCAUAGGUACCACUAAAUGGAUCUUCUUUGUGAAUCUUGUUUGAUUACAAUAUUAAAUUCUGACCAUUUAUUUUGUUUCUAGCUUGUGAACCAACCGAGGGCAUGAGCAGGGGCACAGCUAAUCCAUGAAGGACAUUUGCGGGUGAACAUGGUCCCAGGCCAGGUCACAUGGCUUGGCCAGUAGCACAGAGAGUGAAUAUUGACCAUGGUUGCCCCCUCAGUGGGUUGUGGAGGGCAUAACCCAACAUGGUAGCUCUAACCAAACCAUUAGAAAAUAGAUAGAAAUUGGCUGUAUGCUGUACGCUAAAAUGAAUGAAUUAUUUUGGAAGAGAGGGGAAAUAGAGGAAAAACAAACAAACAGGUCAAUUCAUCCAAAAUGGCAGAAUUAGAGCCCCGUGUAGUCUAUAAAAAGAGUUAAAAUUAUCUAAAAGGCCUUACAUAAUCCUAUCACAGUGUUUAUUUAUGGCAAUCUAUUUUAAAAAUGUUUAUGUAAUAUUACACAGUCUGCGUGAUGCCUUGUAUGUCGUAGAAACUCACUAAAUACUUCUUGAAUGAACCAGUACAGUAUUUUAAUUAGUAAGUCUUCAUGUACCAGUGCAGAAGAACAGUGUCAUCUUACCGGUGAAGUCAUGGAAGGGAAAUAGCCCACCAGGAUCAUGUGUCAUUCCGGGUGCCCAGGAUGAACCAUUCACAGACUAAGCUGAAUUCUUCAAAGUUUUCAGCAAUAUUAACAUUUUUUUUGAGAUGUUGAUGGACCUUUAUGUUAUUCAUUUAUUUAUAUGUGGUGCUGAGAAUCGAACCCAGGGCCUCACACAUGCUAGGCAAGUGCUCUACCACUGAGCCACAU